rnacentral:rRNA from 2 species
UGCAAGUCGAGCGGUAACAUUUACUAGCUUGCUAGAAGAUGACGAGCGGCGGACGGGUGAGUAAUACUUAGGAAUCUACCUAGUAGUGGGGGAUAGCUCGGGGAAACUCGAAUUAAUACCGCAUACGACCUACGGGAGAAAGGGGGCAACUUGUUGCUCUCGCUAUUAGAUGAGCCUAAGUCGGAUUAGCUAGAUGGUGGGGUAAAGGCCUACCAUGGCGACGAUCUGUAGCUGGUCUGAGAGGAUGAUCAGCCACACCGGGACUGAGACACGGCCCGGACUCCUACGGGAGGCAGCAGUGGGGAAUAUUGGACAAUGGGGGAAACCCUGAUCCAGCCAUGCCGCGUGUGUGAAGAAGGCCUUUUGGUUGUAAAGCACUUUAAGCAGUGAAGAAGACUCUUCGGUUAAUACCCGGAGACGAUGACAUUAGCUGCAGAAUAAGCACCGGCUAACUCUGUGCCAGCAGCCGCGGUAAUACAGAGGGUGCAAGCGUUAAUCGGAAUUACUGGGCGUAAAGCGAGCGUAGGUGGCUUGAUAAGUCAGAUGUGAAAUCCCCGGGCUUAACCUGGGAACUGCAUCUGAUACUGUCAGGCUAGAGUAGGUGAGAGGAAGGUAGAAUUCCAGGUGUAGCGGUGAAAUGCGUAGAGAUCUGGAGGAAUACCGAUGGCGAAGGCAGCCUUCUGGCAUCAUACUGACACUGAGGCUCGAAAGCGUGGGUAGCAAACA